rnacentral:rRNA from 1 species
AUUGAACGCUGGCGGCAGGCCUAACACAUGCAAGUCGAGCGGAAACGGCAGUAUUGAAGCUUCGGUGGAUUUACUGGACGUCGAGCGGCGGACGGGUGAGUAACGGCUGGGAACCUGCCCUGACGAGGGGGAUAACCGUUGGAAACGACGGCUAAUACCGCAUAAUGUCUACGGACCAAAGGUGGCCUCUACAUGUAAGCUAUCGCGUUGGGAUGGGCCCAGUUAGGAUUAGCUAGUUGGUAAGGUAACGGCUUACCAAGGCGACGAUCCUUAGCUGGUUUGAGAGGAUGAUCAGCCACACUGGGACUGAGACACGGCCCAGACUCCUACGGGAGGCAGCAGUGGGGAAUAUUGCACAAUGGGGGAGACCCUGAUGCAGCCAUGCCGCGUGUGUGAAGAAGGCCUUCGGGUUGUAAAGCACUUUCAGCAGUGAGGAAGGUAGUGUACUUAAUACGUGCAUUGCUUGACGUUAGCUGCAGAAGAAGCACCGGCUAACUCCGUGCCAGCAGCCGCGGUAAUACGGAGGGUGCGAGCGUUAAUCGGAAUUACUGGGCGUAAAGCGCAUGCAGGCGGUUUGUUAAGUCAGAUGUGAAAGCCCGGGGCUCAACCUCGGAACCGCAUUUGAAACUGGCAGGCUAGAGUCUUGUAGAGGGGGUAGAAUUUCAGGUGUAGCGGUGAAAUGCGUAGAGAUCUGAAGGAAUACCAGUGGCGAAGGCGGCCCCCUGGACAAAGACUGACGCUCAGAUGCGAAAGCGUGGGUAGCAAACAGG